rnacentral:rRNA from 1 species
AGAGUUUGAUCCUGGCUCAGAUUGAACGCUGGCGGAAUGCUUUACACAUGCAAGUCGAACGGGGUCAUGGGGCUUGCUCCAUGACCUAGUGGCGAACGGGUGAGUAAUACAUAGGAACGUGUCCCGUAGUGGGGGAUAACGCAGCGAAAGCUGUGCUAAUACCGCAUAUGCUCUGAGGAGGAAAGCGGGGGACCGCAAGGCCUCGCGCUAUGGGAGCGGCCUAUGUCCGAUUAGCUAGUUGGUGGGGUAAAGGCCUACCAAGGCGACGAUCGGUAGCUGGUCUGAGAGGAUGAUCAGCCACACUGGAACUGAGACACGGUCCAGACUCCUACGGGAGGCAGCAGUGGGGAAUUUUGGACAAUGGGGGAAACCCUGAUCCAGCCAUUCCGCGUGAGUGAAGAAGGCCUUCGGGUUGUAAAGCUCUUUCGGCAGGGAAGAAACGGACACGGAUAAUACCUGUGUCUAAUGACGGUACCUGACUAAGAAGCACCGGCUAACUACGUGCCAGCAGCCGCGGUAAUA